rnacentral:rRNA from 1 species
GCCAUACCACCCUGAAUGUGCCCGAUCUCGUCUGAUCUCGGAAGCUAAGCAGGGUCGGGCCUGGUUAGUACUUGGAUGGGAAGCCACUCGGUCAUACCCAGAGC